UAGACAAAAGCCGCGUCUUCUCAGCUUCACAAUCACACAACAAUGGCGGCUUCUUGCAUGCUUAGAUCCUCUUUCCUCUCUCCUGGUCUUCCUCAACUUCAUCAUCAAUCAACUUCAAAACCCAAUAAUGGUAUUCAUUUCUUCACUCCGAUUAAAGCUACAGCCACAAACGAUGCGAUUUCUCAACAGAAGCACCGCCGUCCUGCGGACGAGAACAUCCGUGAAGAAGCGCGCCGUCACUGCUCAUCUCAUAAUUUUUCAGCCAGGUAUGUUCCUUUUAAUGCUGGUCCUACUUCUGAUGAAUGGUAUUCUCUAGAUGAGAUUGUUUAUCGGAGUCGGUCUGGUGGAUUACUUGAUGUUCAGCAUGAUAUGGAUGCCUUAAAGAAGUUCGAUGGUCAGUAUUGGCGAUCCUUGUUUGAUUCUCGUGUUGGUAAGACUACUUGGCCUUAUGGGUCCGGUGUUUGGUCUAAGAAGGAAUGGGUUCUGCCUGAAAUUGAUAGCGAUGAUAUUGUUAGUGCUUUUGAAGGGAACUCGAAUCUGUUUUGGGCUGAGCGUUUUGGCAAACAGUUUCUAGGCAUGACUGAUUUGUGGGUCAAACACUGUGGGAUUAGCCAUACUGGUAGUUUUAAGGAUCUUGGGAUGACUGUUUUGGUGAGUCAAGUUAAUCGGUUGCGGAAAAUGCAUAAACCAGUCGUCGGUGUGGGGUGUGCUUCUACUGGAGACACAUCUGCGGCCCUGUCGGCUUACUGUGCAUCUGCAGGCAUUCCGUCAAUUGUAUUUCUACCUGCGAAUAAGAUUUCUAUGGCGCAACUGGUUCAACCUAUUGCAAAUGGGGCUUUCGUGUUGAGUAUUGACACUGAUUUUGAUGGUUGUAUGCAGUUGAUUCGUGAAGUUACUGCUGAGUUGCCUAUUUACUUGGCAAAUUCGUUGAAUAGUUUGAGGUUGGAAGGGCAAAAGACGGCAGCAAUCGAGAUUUUGCAGCAGUUUGAUUGGGAAGUUCCGGAGUGGGUGAUAGUUCCUGGUGGGAACUUAGGCAACAUAUAUGCAUUUUAUAAAGGUUUUCAGAUGUGCAAAGAGUUGGGACUUGUGGAUCGCAUCCCUAGGCUUGUUUGUGCUCAAGCUGCCAACGCUAAUCCGCUCUACUUGCAUUACAAAUCUGGUUGGAAAGACUUCAAACCUGUGAAGGCGAACACAACAUUUGCAUCUGCUAUACAGAUUGGUGACCCAGUGUCUAUAGACAGAGCUGUUUUUGCCCUGCAGAACUGCAACGGGAUAGUGGAGGAGGCAACCGAGGAGGAGUUGAUGGAUGCUAUGGCUCAGGCAGACUCGACUGGGAUGUUCAUUUGCCCGCAUACUGGUGUGGCAUUGACUGCGCUGUUCAAGCUGAGAAACAGUGGAGUCAUUGCACCAACUGAUAGGACUGUGGUUGUGAGUACAGCUCAUGGAUUGAAGUUUACUCAAUCCAAGAUUGAUUACCACUCAAAGGAAAUAAAAGACAUGGAAUGUCGGUUUUCUAACCCACCUGUGGAAGUGAAAGCAGAUUUUGGAUCAGUUAUGGAUGUUCUGAAGAGCUAUUUGUUGAGCCAAAAUUCCAAGCUAUGAUGUGUUGUCAGUUCUAAACAUAGGUUAAACGCACACUGGAGUAUAGACUGAAAGUGCUGGCUGACAAAGAAUGAGAUCAGGUGAAGGACCUUGCAUUUUUGUCCUACAAUCUUCAGUUUCUAAUGGGGUGAGGCGCUGAGUGAUUUGCAUCUCAUUCUGGAAGUUUGAAAUAACUUGAAGAACAGCAGUACUUUAAGGUAUCAGAUUCUUUCUCUUAAUCUAAUCGCAUAGCUUCUAGAAAGUUGCAUCGGUUCUUCAUUGGGUACCUGCUACCUCCUAGUAACACAGUUAAUCGUGUCCUGAAUAGAUGGAAAUCGGCCUUACUGAGAUAUAUGGUUCCCGCCCUACCUGAUUGAUCAAGAAAUUCCAUUUUGAGUUUAUUUAUUUUCGUGCUUUCGCUUUUUGUAAACACAGAUGCUGUCUCUUAUUUUGUUGAUGCAACGAGCUUGUUUUGUACAAUGGAGAGACCAAGCAUUAGUCCCUCUCCUAUCAAACUCUGAUCCCAUUACUUUCUACACAAGAUGUCAAGCAUCAUAUGGGGUUAAAAGACUAGUGCUAUACGAUGUUUAUCUGCAUUGGGGUCCUAUUAAAUUCAGAUUAGCGCAUUGUAGAGCUUAUUUUUUUGGGAUGACACUCUAAAUAAGAUUUUUUUUUACCAUUCUCAA